AAGGAAAGUGCCCUGGAGGCAAAGUAUCAAGCCAUGGAGUGAGCUGCUACCUUUAAGCAUUCAGAGGCAUGGCCAAACAGCAGUUUAAGAUAUUCCGGGAGACUAAAGAAAAGGAAAUUCAGGAUUUGCUGUGGGGCAAAACAAGAUCUGAAGUCAAAACUUCAACAGCUGCAGGCUCAAGGCAUUCAGAUUUAUGAUCCAGCAGACUCGGAUUCAGAUGACAACGCACCACUAUCAUCAGAGACCAGAGCGGAGCUGCAGACCUUUAUACAGACUAUUUCUUUAAGGGCUGCAGAGGUUUUAUGAGGAUUUGGGUCAUUUCUACCUGAAUGUGUCAUUUCCUGAGGAGAAAGCCACUCUUUAUGCUGCUGAACGCAGGCAGGAGAUCGAGAGGAGCUCUGUGUAAGAUGUGGAAGUAGCGUUUGUGAAAACCCCAGACUCUCGGCCUCUCUUGCUCCAUUUGUGAACUGGUGACAGAAAAGCUUCUACCCUCAGUACAUCCACUAGAGACUUGCUGGAGAGAGUUAACAAAGCUGACAAGAGUGCCAAACUUAAAGUAGUGGAUCAUGCAGGGUCUGUAGAGGGUGGCGCUGCUCUUAUCUUCAAUCAACUUGAAAGAAUCAUCAGGUGCACACUGUGACACACAUGUGGGUGUUAGUGUUAAUAGCAUGCUUUUAGUUUGUGCAUAGUGUUCUUAGAUCAUGCAACCGAGAUAUGACUGGGUUAAAAAUAACCCUGCUGUCAAGAGCUUUAUACUGGGCAGCACACAUGCUGGGUUAAACUAACAAUGCAAGCAGGGUCGCUUAUCAUUGUCAGCCAACAUAUUUUCUUAAUGUUUGAAAAUAAUUACAGCAAAAAUAAUAUAUGGAAUAGAUUAACAGUGAAAUUAAAUAUGUUUUUAUGUCUACAUGGAAAUAAAGUAGGAGCAGCCUCAGUGGACAGGCAAGUGAAAAUGACUGUUGAUAGUGCAGUUUGGAGCAGAAAAAUACAGAAGUGGGUAACUAUUGAUUCUACUGUUGGUAAAACUGACCCAGCCACUGGAGAAAAAAAAACAGAAACAACAAAAAAAAAAAAAAACAUUCCUAACACUAAAAGUAACCUGAGCUUUUGUGUAAAAAUAUGAGCUUUGUCAGAAUGUGGUUAUCUAUUUCAGGUUCUGAAAGAGGAACAUCUUAAAGAGAUGCAUGAUGUUAAACAGAAAGAGACAUUUCUACAAGAUUUUCUCUCUCUUUCUUCACGAGUUGUUGGGAUUGGAGUUAGAAGACAGUGGAGUGGUGGAGGAGAGAGAAGAGGAAGACUCUGGUGAUGUGCUGUGGGACCUUCGUGAUGAGCAGGAGCAGAUUGAGGCGUUCCAGCAGGCUUGUGGCACUGCUUCCAGAUUAGACGAUAACUGUUAAAUAUGUUGACUGACUCACCGCCCCUCCACCCAUCCCAUCCGCUGCUGGUAUCUGGUGCACAAUGAUCGGGCAAAUCACUUUUGCUUGCUAAAUGGUUGUUUCAACUUAAAUCUAAAUAUUAGGUAUCAUCACACAAUAAUUAUGUAGGUCAAUUUUCACAGAGUAAAUGAUAAGUUAGUUCUCUGCAGGAAAGUUACUGCAGAAACACUCUCCCAACAUCCUCAUUCUGUAUCAGUUCACGGGACAUCCUCUCUCUACCAGCACAGAUCCAGUGCUUAUCAUUAAGCGCCUCACAGUGAAGGUCAGACACAGAUACACACACUCAUUUCACUCUAUGUAGCUUCUUAAACUGUGUAAAGAACAGAGACAGAGACCAGUUUUAAUUUAGUUAUAACUAGCACUUUAUAACAUGCAGCCUGCACUGUAUAGGGCUUUGUACACUGGAAAUUGAUAAACCAUUGUCAUAUUUAACCCAAAUAUGACUAUAAUCCUGGGUUAUCUUAUGUUGUGCUAUUUAUAUUUUGUCUUGGGUAGUUGAGUUUAAAGAUUGACACUCUACAUUUGUAAACCACGUGUUGACGUUCUUAUGCAUGCUGUAUAUACAGUACAGCAGUAUAUACUGUCUGUGAAAAUGUUGCCAUU